rnacentral:rRNA from 1 species
UACGAAUGGGGCAAGCGUUGUUCGGAAUCACUGGGCUUAAAGCGUGCGCAGGCGGUCAUGCAAGUCAGGAGUGAAAUCCCGGGGCUUAACCCCGGAAUUGCUCUUGAAACUGCACGACUAGAAUAUGGGAGAGGUUAGCAGAAUUCCGAGUGUAGAGGUGAAAUUCGCAGAUAUUCGGAGGAAUACCAGUGGCGAAGGCGGCUAACUGGACCAUUAUUGACGCUCAGGCACGAAAGCGUGGGGAGCAAACAGG